GAAGAGAACACAUUCAAAGAGUUCCCCCAUACGUCUCAGGAACUCAUCCACAUAAGGCCUCUUGAGCACAUACACCUGAGGAAGAGCAGAGCAGCCUGUUGGAAGCCUCCCUGUGAUGAAGCUUUGCAGUACCAGGCUUCCAAUGGAUCAGUGGUCCCAACCUCAACCUGGUGCAGGAAGAAGUGCAUACACCUUGUCCCAGGAGCCAUCUCUGUUUCCCGCGGCGGACCAUCAGCUGCCUCCAGAAACAAGUAAUCAAGAAUAGGCCUCACAGAUGGAAACAGCCUAUCCUGGAUUACUUGAAUCCAGCCACAGCCUCUAUGGGAGCUUUCUGUCCUUGGCUCCAACAGGACAGUCUGUCCAGGUCACGAUCAGGUAAUGAAUUGCACCAGGGAGCAGUGACUUUUUCCCCUCAAUGGCCCCAUUCUAGACAGAUACCCUGCCGACUCUUGCUCUGCACCAGAUUUUGUGCUUGCUUCUGCCAGCCACCCCUAACACUUGCGUCCACCUUUACGAUCUUGCACAUUCUGGCAAGUCCUUUGGCUACCUGACCCCCCAUCGGUCUGCACUCUAUUGCUUCCAUGACUCUAGCCUACACAGGUGCUACCAGAAACCAUUUCCACAAAGGUCCUUUUUCUUUUCUUAUUUUUUAGAGAUGGGGUCUUGCUGUGUGAGGCCAGGCUGGUUGUAACUUGUGGGCUCAAGCGUUCCUCCUGCCUCAGCCUCCCAGAGUGCUGGGAUGACAGGUGUAAGCCACGGCGCCUGACUCCCAAAGCUCCUUUACCCACAUAACUCCCGAGCUCAACGAGAGUCAGCCUCCCGUGACUCUCCCUCCUAGAGUGGGCCUGAACUGGCCACCAACUCACCAGACCCCUCAAGAGCUCUGCAGGUUCCUCUGUUCUAGGCAGCCACAACUUAGCUUCUGUUAGCCUGCCAUUCCUUUGACCUCCAACAAGCCCCUUCCUCAUCCCAGCUAUUCAUCAAGUCUGGCAUCCUUUCACCCACUUUGGGCAGGUAGUGCUCCCUUAUUUUAACCUCAUCCUUUUAAAAAUUAUUCAUACCCUUCCUUGUUAGCCAGGAGUUCACAGUAUGUAUCUGUUUGAAAAUACGCCUUCACCUGUUCUACAAGGGUUUAGCACAUCCCUAUACCCUCAGCUAGACUGUAAAAGGGCUGCUGGACCAAGCCUGGUCCUGACCGGGGCCUGGCACAGGACCUGGCAGGUCUUCUGGGCAGGCAAGCUGAGUAAAUGGUCUUUCACUAGCAGUGUCACAUGAUCCUUAAGCCGGGACUGCCUGGGCUGCAGGCUGGAGCCUGGUCCGUUUAGAUUUGAGUGCUCUUUACAUUGACAGACAUACAUUGAGGACUUCCUCAGGCAGAAUCCAAUGGAGGGCCCCAGGGAAGGCAGUCAGAGAAGGCUUCACAGAGGAGGAGAUGUCUGGGCUAGGGAGGAAGAAAGUCACUAGCUAUUCACAGUGGGGGUGUGGGGGUGGAGCAUGCGCAAGAGGGCAUUCCAGGCAGAGAAAAUGGUUACUACUGGUUUCCUUGCCUGUUACAGGAAAAGAGAUACCUGGUUAAGGUAUCUUUACAGGUAUAGAUACCUUUCUUAAGGAACAGAGAAAUGUAAUAAAUUAUGUUAACAGUGCUGGCCAUGUGAGAGGAUGGUGGUUAACAAAUGAUAGCUAUUAUUAUUAAAUAAAAUGUAAACUA